CGGGAAAUGGCGCAGCCUGGUAGCGCACUUGCUUCGGGAGCAAGGGGUCGGCGGUUCGAAUCCGCUUUUCCCGA
rnacentral:tRNA from 1 species